ACAAAAACAUCAGUGAAAUUCAACAGUAUUACAUCGGAAAUGGAUUUCUUUGAGGCACUAAAAUGAAUUUUCACCACAAAACAUAUGAAAUACAAAAGACAAAUAUUACGGAUUCUCUCGAAUUAUCUGGGAAUAAUUUAUUUUAGCCGGCAGGAUAUCUUCUGUUUUUAGUGUUUUUAUUUUAUUUCUUGUUUGAAAAAUAUUAAAUGACCUUUUUAAACCUAAAUAAUGAAUUUUUCUCAUUUCUUUUUUUACAGCCGAUGUCGGAAAGCAGGAGAUGACUCGAGUUCUUCAUCUGAAUCUCCAACCGCUCAUAGGAAGCAAAUACCUCCUUCACGUAAAGCUAAGAAUAAAAAUCAGGGGUUUGGAAAGCGGCCGGUGAAAAGCAGUAGCGGUUACUCUAGUCACACGGAGGAAACCACUUUUAGAUCACACUCACGGGAAUUGAGCGAAACGGACUGCGAUCUAAACAAGUUAGCUAUCAGAAGAUCCUCCCGAGGCUCAACGUCUCAGCCGAGAGGCCUCAUUCCAAAUCAAUGUCUAGUCGUGCCUUUAAAUUGUAUUUUAUUUUUUAUAUAUUGUUGACUUUAAAAAACCCAUCUUGACUGAAUAUCGAUAGUAUGAUAGUGGUCGUUUAUGCGGAUACUGUCCUAUUCAGGAUCCAGUUUUUAUUGUUAUUUUAUUAGCAUCCAAUGUUUAAAGGGAGGUUGAAUGAAUAGUUCUCAAUAAUGUGGAUUUGUAUCUUUUAUAUAGAGAACGGUCGAUUGCCGAGUUGUAUUCUUUCCAAAAUUAUAUAAUUGAAAUGGAGUAUUAAGCGAUAAGUCUUAGAUUUAUUAUGCAUUCAAAGCUUACACUUGAAGACAUGUGAGUCUACUAGCUUUAUAAAUUCUAAUAAUUUUAAUGGUCCACAGGCAGGGUGUCUACAAGUCCAGAAUUUCCGAAAAGUCCGGAAAUAGUACUGAUUUUUUAAGGACGGUCCGAAAGUACUGAAAAAGUACGGAAUUUUGCAAGUUGGUCUGGAAUUUUUUUCAUUUUUGUCGUAAUUUGAGCGGGAAAUUCAAAUUUUGAAAUUUUUUGAAUUUCGUCCAUACGAGGUAUCGAAAAAGUACUGAAUUUUUCUGUUGAGGAGGUACUGAAUUUCUUGGUAAUGUAUUGACAAAGUACAGUAAAAGUCCUGAUUUUCGGCCAGUCUGUUUAGUAGACACCCUGACGGCCCAAAAUACGAAUUGAAGCAUUCUGAUAAUUGUUUCCUUCUCCCUUCUCAAAAUUUCACGCAGAACAACGUUUGCUCACAAUAAUAACCGAAAUAAACUCCCAACAAAUAUAUUAACGUUCUUUUUAAUUACCAAAAUGUUUCCAUUUAAUUCAUUAUUUUUUCAUUUUGGUGUAAAGGGAGUUGGAGUGGAAUAAAAAAACUUCUCUGUCAGCGUACGCUGAGCACACAAGCACAGUAAGCUGUGAUGAACCAAAAACAAAAAAAAAUUUAAAACAGGAUUUGGCGUCCAUGUCUUCAUAAAAAUAAAAAAGUGUAGUCCUUACCGCAAUAUGCCACAUAUUUUCAAUGUUGACCUCUGCAUUUCAUUUAAUUUGUUUUGUAGACUCGGCAGCCAACCGUUUCUGAAUCUAAUGUGAUUUAGUUUUAUGCUUGGAAACCAAUCUUGACCGUAAGUUCUUAAAAUAAUUCAUGUAAUUGUUUCUGUGAAAUGUCUAAAAGCUCAAUUUUAACCUUAAUCCAUUAGAUUUAAAACAUAUCUUUUUUAUGCUGUAUUUUCUACUCUAAAAAAUGAGCAACGUUACUUUUCAACGAAAACACAAGGAUAAAAUAAUUAUAGCAAAUAUCCAUACAUGACUAACCUUAAGAUAGUAAGAGACCUUUUAAAAAGAGUGUAAUAUUAUCUAAGUGCUCUAUCCAUAAAUGACUGAUACUAAGAUAGAAAGAGAGCUUUUAAAAAGAGUGUAAUAUUAUCUAAGUGUUCUAUCCAUAAAUGACUGAUACUAAGAUAGAAAGAGACCUUUUAAAAGAGUGUAAUAUCAUUUAAGUGUUCACUGACAGAUAUCAGUCAAUUCCUCCUUAACAUUACAAGUUUAGGCUAGUUUUGUUUUUCUCUAUAUGCUGAAGAGAAAAUCGUACGAUUCGUUGUGUCAGGAUUUCAAGUAUCAAAGUAAUUCUGGUAUGCUAAGGAAAAACGUCACUUGGACAUUAGAGAGUUCCCGAAUUUCCCAGUGUAGAACAUGUAUUUUGUUAAGAAAAUGUACACAUAUUUUUCCUGAUUAUUACUAAUAUUUUAGAUGAAAUUACAAAAAAAAUUCAAAGAAAAAAUAUGCUUAAUUUUCUCGGUAAAUUGGUUUUUAUUGAAAUUAAUCUGGCAACUUCUUAAAGGUCAUAUAGCAUUCUUCCCUAACUUAGCAGCAUAUUGGUGUGAAACUUCAAAUGUACUUAUCUCGGUUCCAAUGUUUCCAAAACUCUGCUCUUAUUUGAAUUUUACAAGGAGGCGGAACAAACAGCAUGGCUUGAAUUUUCAUAGAAUAUUCUACUUGUAGGGAAAAAGUGUUACCGAAGUUUUCAAGGAAUUACAUUGAGUAAUUUUUCAUGCAGAAAAUAGUGAUUGACAGGAAGUCUGCAACGUUGCGGACCGAGCUACAUGUUCCUGCAGUUUCACCAUCGCUACAGUAUUAACCUAGGCAAAAAGUCUAGAGUAUUGUGAGAAAACAAAAAACAUCAAGAAGUAGUCUUCAAUUUUUUACAGGAUGACAAAAUUUUGAAUUCUUCCCUGCUUUGAUGAUACGAAUUCAUACAUCAGUGCCACUUUGUACACUCUAGCUCCUACUGGUGUUAACUUACCUGUUUUGUUGACUGAUCCUGUAUAUGUCCUCGCAGCAGGCCAUUUUUGCAGGCCUUUGUGACUAAUCUAUUUAUGAAGGUCUGAUCUCCUAUUGUUGCCUGCAUGAGUGGAGAGACUGUAGCUACUCCCUAUUGUGAUGUCAGACUAGCGGACAUUUGGAGCACAUUUUGCAAUGCAGAAUUGAAAUGUCUGGCUAAUUUGUAAAAACACUUGUGUGCAAAAGGAAACUAAUGGUACAUAUGUUGUUUCCAAACUGAGCCAGUAAUUGUAGUUUCUAAUUGCGAUGUAUUCCAUUUAUCAAAAACAUCAAUCAGUUUAGGUCAUUGGAGAGUCAAUAAUUAAGUGAGGCACACCACCAAGACAAGAAGACAACCAAUGGGCCUGUUGCAAACUUUUGCUAGGACAAAAUAAGAGUUGUUCCUUAUAGAUAAUGUCUCAAAAAUUACGAUGAGCGCAUUGGCAAACUCUGAAAUGCACUCCUAAAUCCACAAUCUGUGUAAGAAAUUUGUGUUUUUUAAGCUUCCCGCUUCAAAAAGAUACUACGGCACAGGUGAAUAUUUCGUUAGAGGAGUUGUUCCAUUUCAAUCC
rnacentral:lncRNA from 1 species